CUACGGGGCGCUGCAGUGAGGAAUAUUGCACAAUGGAGGAAACUCUGAUGCAGCAACGCCGCGUGGAGGAUGACGCAUUUCGGUGUGUAAACUCCUUUUAUAUGUCAAGAAAAUGACGGUAGCAUAUGAAUAAGCACCGGCUAACUCCGUGCCAGCAGCCGCGGUAAUACGGAGGGUGCAAGCGUUACUCGGAAUCACUGGGCGUAAAGGACGCGUAGGCGGGAUAUCAGGUCAGGUGUGAAAUCCUACAGCUUAACUGUAGAACUGCACUUGAAACUGGUAACCUAGAGUAUGGGAGGGGGAGAUGGAAUUAGUGGUGUAGGGGUAAAAUCCGUAGAUAUCACUAGGAAUACCUAAAGCGAAGGCGAUCUCCUGGAACAUAACUGACGCUAAGGCGUGAAAGCGUGGGGAGCAAACAGGAUUAGAUACCCCUGUAGUC
rnacentral:rRNA from 1 species